GCAGAGGUGCCGGAGCGGUCAAACGGGUUAGGCUUAGGACCUAAUGGCUUAGUGCCUUCGCAGGUUCGAAUCCUGUCCUCUGCA
rnacentral:tRNA from 1 species